UUAAGCGACUAAGCGUACACGGUGGAUGCCCUGGCAGUCAGAGGCGAUGAAGGACGUGCUAAUCUGCGAAAAGCGUCGGUAAGGUGAUAUGAACCGUUACAGCCGGCGAUGUCCGAAUGGGGAAACCCAGUGUGAUUCGUCACACUAUCGUUAACUGAAUACAUAGGUUAACGAGGCGAACCGGGGGAACUGAAACAUCUAAGUACCCCGAGGAAAAGAAAUCAACCGAGAUUCCCCCAGUAGCGGCGAGCGAACGGGGAGCAGCCCAGAGUCUGAAUCAGCUUGUGUGUUAGUGGAACGGUCUGGAAAGUCCGACGGUACAGGGUGAUAGUCCCGUACACCAAAAUGCACAGGCUGUGAACUCGAAGAGUAGGGCGGGACACGUGGUAUCCUGUCUGAAUAUGGGGGGACCAUCCUCCAAGGCUAAAUACUCCUGACUGACCGAUAGUGAACCAGUACCGUGAGGGAAAGGCGAAAAGAACCCCGGCGAGGGGAGUGAAAAAGAACCUGAAACCGUGUACGUACAAGCAGUGGGAGCACCUUCGGGUGUGACUGCGUACCUUUUGUAUAAUGGGUCAGCGACUUAUAUUCUGUAGCAAGGUUAACCGUAUAGGGGAGCCGCAGGGAAACCGAGUCUUAACUGGGCGUUAAGUUGCAGGGUAUAGACCCGAAACCCGGUGAUCUAGCCAUGGGCAGGUUGAAGGUUGGGUAACACUAACUGGAGGACCGAACCGACUAAUGUUGAAAAAUUAGCGGAUGACUUGUGGCUGGGGGUGAAAGGCCAAUCAAACCGGGAGAUAGCUGGUUCUCCCCGAAAGCUAUUUAGGUAGCGCCUCGUGAAUUCAUCUUCGGGGGUAGAGCACUGUUUCGGCUAGGGGGUCAUCCCGACUUACCAACCCGAUGCAAACUACGAAUACCGAAGAAUGUUAUCACGGGAGACACACGGCGGGUGCUAACGUCCGUCGUGAAGAGGGAAACAACCCAGACCGCCAGCUAAGGUCCCAAAGUCACAGUUAAGUGGGAAACGAUGUGGGAAGGCACAGACAGCCAGGAUGUUGGCUUAGAAGCAGCCAUCAUUUAAAGAAAGCGUAAUAGCUCACUGGUCGAGUCGGCCUGCGCGGAAGAUGUAACGGGGCUAAACUGUGCACCGAAGCUGCGGCAGCGACACUAUGUGUUGUUGGGUAGGGGAGCGUUCUGUAAGCCUGCGAAGGUGGCCUGUGAGGGUUGCUGGAGGUAUCAGAAGUGCGAAUGCUGACAUAAGUAACGAUAAUGCGGGUGAAAAGCCCGCACGCCGGAAGACCAAGGGUUCCUGUCCAACGUUAAUCGGGGCAGGGUGAGUCGACCCCUAAGGCGAGGCCGAAAGGCGUAGUCGAUGGGAAACAGGUUAAUAUUCCUGUACUUGGUGUUACUGCGAAGGGGGGACGGAGAAGGCUAUGUUAGCCGGGCGACGGUUGUCCCGGUUUAAGCAUGUAGGCGGAGGUUCCAGGUAAAUCCGGUACCUUUUUAACGCUGAGGUGUGAUGACGAGGCACUACGGUGCUGAAGUAACAAAUGCCCUGCUUCCAGGAAAAGCCUCUAAGCAUCAGGUAACAUUGAAUCGUACCCCAAACCGACACAGGUGGUCAGGUAGAGAAUACCAAGGCGCUUGAGAGAACUCGGGUGAAGGAACUAGGCAAAAUGGUGCCGUAACUUCGGGAGAAGGCACGCUGAUAUGUAGGUGAAGCCCCUGCGGGUGGAGCUGAAAUCAGUCGAAGAUACCAGCUGGCUGCAACUGUUUAUUAAAAACACAGCACUGUGCAAACACGAAAGUGGACGUAUACGGUGUGACGCCUGCCCGGUGCCGGAAGGUUAAUUGAUGGGGUUAUCCGUAAGGAGAAGCUCUUGAUCGAAGCCCCGGUAAACGGCGGCCGUAACUAUAACGGUCCUAAGGUAGCGAAAUUCCUUGUCGGGUAAGUUCCGACCUGCACGAAUGGCGUAAUGAUGGCCAGGCUGUCUCCACCCGAGACUCAGUGAAAUUGAACUCGCUGUGAAGAUGCAGUGUACCCGCGGCAAGACGGAAAGACCCCGUGAACCUUUACUAUAGCUUGACACUGAACAUUGAGCCUUGAUGUGUAGGAUAGGUGGGAGGCUUUGAAGCGUGGACGCCAGUCUGCGUGGAGCCAACCUUGAAAUACCACCCUUUAAUGUUUGAUGUUCUAACGUUGGCCCCUUAUCGGGGUUGCGGACAGUGUCUGGUGGGUAGUUUGACUGGGGCGGUCUCCUCCCAAAGAGUAACGGAGGAGCACGAAGGUUAGCUAAUCCUGGUCGGACAUCAGGAGGUUAGUGCAAUGGCAUAAGCUAGCUUGACUGCGAGCGUGACGGCGCGAGCAGGUGCGAAAGCAGGUCAUAGUGAUCCGGUGGUUCUGAAUGGAAGGGCCAUCGCUCAACGGAUAAAAGGUACUCCGGGGAUAACAGGCUGAUACCGCCCAAGAGUUCAUAUCGACGGCGGUGUUUGGCACCUCGAUGUCGGCUCAUCACAUCCUGGGGCUGAAGUAGGUCCCAAGGGUAUGGCUGUUCGCCAUUUAAAGUGGUACGCGAGCUGGGUUUAGAACGUCGUGAGACAGUUCGGUCCCUAUCUGCCGUGGGCGCUGGAGAAUUGAGGGGGGCUGCUCCUAGUACGAGAGGACCGGAGUGGACGCAUCACUGGUGUUCGGGUUGUCAUGCCAAUGGCAUUGCCCGGUAGCUAAAUGCGGAAGAGAUAAGUGCUGAAAGCAUCUAAGCACGAAACUUGCCCCGAGAUGAGUUCUCCCUGA
rnacentral:rRNA from 1 species